UGGUCAAGUGUGACAGGAAGCCAAGGAAGAGUGACUCAAGCUAAGCUCUUCCCUGCUCUCAAGUCAGCAGGUCUGCUUGGAACCCAACAAAAGAACCCAGAGACUUACUCUCGCGAGGGGCGGGUCCUUUGAACUGGCUUCGGAGGGGCAACAGGGCCAUGUUACCGAUGAGCUUGGUGUCCGGGUCCAUGAGAGAAGAGUGGUAUGCCUGCAGGGGCCAGCCCAGGGAAGAGAGAAAACAAGUGUCACCAGGAGACAAGGCGAGGACCAACUGUGGGAGAAAAGGGCUGGCGUCGGCUUACGGGGAGCCAGCGCCUGACUCAAGAGAACCAACUGGUGGAUUCUGAGACGUUCUGUCAGCUGGUGGAUAAGCGUAGCCCUCCGCUCACACUAAACUAGACACGGAAAACAGAGGUAGGCAGUACCUCAAACCCCAUCAUAAAAAAAAAAUAUAUAUAUAUAUCAGAGCCGGGCAUGGUGGUACACGCCUUUAAUCCCAGCACUUGGGAGGCAGAGGCAGGUGGAUUUCUGAGUUCGAGGCCAACCUGGUCUACAGAGUGCGUUCCAGGACAGCCAGUGCUACACAGAGGAACCCUGUCUCGAAAAACCAAAAAAUAAAAAAAUUACACUUUA
rnacentral:lncRNA from 1 species